UGAACGUAUCGCGCGAAUCACUCGCUCAAGACGCAGAUAUCGAGGUGAAGACGUCGAGGCUAAGUCGGCGACGGGCGAAGUAAAGAACUUCCUUCCCAUGGGUACCUUGGCCAGGUGGGAAGGCCCAGUACCCCGAGGAUGUUACCCAAGCAAAACUCUUGUUCUACUUGGAUAAAAAUCCAAAGACGGGGAAGCUAACGUACCCUCGUCCGCCGAUUUAAUUGAAUAAACGAACCGCAGCCGGUUUGUCGCGUAUGUUUUGAGAGUGCUAGAGUAUUAUAGGAACUCUAGAGAGUGCCGUUCAAGUAAUCGGACUAAAGAACUUUUUCAAAGUCCUUUAAAGAAUAUUACGGCAUGUACUUGACGGAAUAUUUUUCUCAUGGGGUUUUUAAACGGGAGUGCCGUACAGUAUCGCGCGAAAGACAUUUACUGAUAAAUUAGUCCGCGCGCGAUUAUAGUUUAUUAUUCGUAAGUGUUUUUCGCGAGUGUCCUCUGCGGUGAGAGGAGGAGGCCUGACGUCCUGAGAGGAGGAGGAGGUCUGAGAGAGACAUCGGGCACCGGCGCGCGGCGGAGCAACCUUGAGGAGACAGAGCAAGAAUUAAUAGAUUUUGUGGCAAAAAAUAUGAUGGAUCACACUACAAACUUUGUGCUGGAGUGAUAUUUCUGGAUGCUUUUCUGUAUACAGGUUCAGAAAAAAUUGUGAGAAAAAAUUUAAAGAAAUGGUUAAAAAAUC